ACGAAGGGUGCUAGCGUUGUUCGGAAUUAUUGGGCGUAAAGAGCGCGUAGGCGGCUUAAUAAGUUGGGAGUGAAAUCCCGGGGCUUAACCCCGGAAUUGCUUUCAAAACUAUUAGGCUAGAGUUUGACAGGGGGUGACGGAAUUCCUAGUGUAGAGGUGAAAUUCGUAGAUAUUAGGAGGAACACCGGUGGCGAAGGCGGUCACCUGGGUCAUAACUGACGCUGUGGCGCGAAAGCGUGGGGAGCAAACAGG
rnacentral:rRNA from 1 species